AUUGAACGCUGGCGGCAUGCUUUACACAUGCAAGUCGAACGGCAGCGCGGGCUUCGGCCUGGCUGCGAGUGGCGAACGGGUGAGUAAUGCAUCGGAACGUGCCCAGUAGUGGGGGAUAGCCCGGCGAAAGCCGGAUUAAUACCGCAUACGACCUGAGGGUGAAAGCGGGGGACCGAAAGGCCUCGCGCUAUUGGAGCGGCCGAUGUCGGAUUAGCUAGUUGGUGGGGUAAAGGCCUACCAAGGCGACGAUCCGUAGCUGGUCUGAGAGGACGACCAGCCACACUGGGACUGAGACACGGCCCAGACUCCUACGGGAGGCAGCAGUGGGGAAUGUUGGACAAUGGGGGCAAACCUGAUCCAGCCAUGCCGAGUGCGGGAAGAAGGCCUUCGGGUUGGAAAGCGCUUUUGUUCGGGAAGAAAUCCUCUGGGCUAAUACCCCGGGGGGAUGACGGUACCGGAAGAAUAAGCACCGGCUAACUACGUG
rnacentral:rRNA from 1 species